rnacentral:rRNA from 1 species
AUAAUGGAUAGCAAUAUCUAUGGUGGCGACCGGCGCACGGGUGCGUAACGCGUAUGCAACCUACCUUUAACAGGGGGAUAACACUGAGAAAUUGGUACUAAUACCCCAUAAUAUCAUAGAAGGCAUCUUUUAUGGUUGAAAAUUCCGAUGGUUAGAGAUGGGCAUGCGUUGUAUUAGCUAGUUGGUGGGGUAACGGCUCACCAAGGCGACGAUACAUAGGGGGACUGAGAGGUUAACCCCCCACACUGGUACUGAGACACGGACCAGACUCCUACGGGAGGCAGCAGUGAGGAAUAUUGGUCAAUGGACGCAAGUCUGAACCAGCCAUGCCGCGUGCAGGAUGACGGCUCUAUGAGUUGUAAACUGCUUUUGUACGAGGGUAAACGCAGAUACGUGUAUCUGUCUGAAAGUAUCGUACGAAUAAGGAUCGGCUAACUCCGUGCCAGCAGCCGCGGUAAUACGGAGGAUCCAAGCGUUAUCCGGAUUUAUUGGGUUUAAAGGGUGCGUAGGCGGUUUAGUAAGUCAGCGGUGAAAUUUUGGUGCUUAACACCAAACGUGCCGUUGAUACUGCUGGGCUAGAGAGUAGUUGCGGUAGGCGGAAUGUAUGGUGUAGCGGUGAAAUGCUUAGAGAUCAUACAGAACACCGAUUGCGAAGGCAGCUUACCAAACUAUAUCUGACGUUGAGGCACGAAAGCGUGGGGAGCAAACAGGAUUAGAUACCCUGGUAGUCCACGCAGUAAACGAUGAUAACUCGUUGUCGGCGAUACACAGUCGGUGACUAAGCGAAAGCGAUAAGUUAUCCACCUGGGGAGUACGUUCGCAAGAAUGAAACUCAAAGGAAUUGACGGGGGCCCGCACAAGCGGAGGAACAUGUG